UUUGAUCACACAAAAUUGCCAACAUUACAAAUGUAGAUGAACUCAUCCCAUUAGUGAAGGGCUAUAUAAACAGGCAACUCUGUCGCUGAUGGUAAGACAUUCUACAACAUUCUCAUCGGUGAUAUCUUCUGAUCCUGAUCCUUCAGCCUCAAGAUGAAGACGACCCUGGUGUUUCUUCUUGUUGUCCUGGUCAUCUCUUCCCAGCUGAUGACCACUGAAGGACACUUUAGGCUUGGCCGAGGCAUGGAACGUGGUGCCGAGACUAUCAAGGCGAUGUUGGCCCGCCAGGCUGAGCGCCGUGAGCUGGCCAGGGAGCUGGAGCUGGCCAGGGAUGUGGAGAAGCGGGAUGUGGACACCCGUAUGAGUGAUAUGCUGGAGGAAGCUGAAUGAUCAAAGGACAGUCGGACGACCACGUGACCAUCGCAUGCCUGUCACGUGACCAUCACGUGCCUGCCACGUGAUCAUUGACGGCUGUCAAUUUCCUCCGCAUGGAUGACAAGUUCGGGAAAAUUCGCCUUUUAAAAAAUUCAAAAUAGAAAUCAUAGUUUGACUUUGUUAUUGAUAGACGCGUGAAUAAGAAGUAAUUUACAAGAAUCUUACAUUUAUUAUUAAUUAAACAAAAAGCUUCCGCUUCGUAACGUUACAAUUUGGGCAAGUUUGGUAAUCAAGAUUCUGAUACUUGUCAAAUUCUGGAAUGUCAGCAAUAUGUAUGGUAGACUUCUGCACGGUGAAAAACUGCAAAUAAAAGAUUGCAUGAUGCAUA